rnacentral:lncRNA from 1 species
AUGGAGCCCCCUCCUCCUGCAACCAAGGUAGGGGUGGAACAGAGCUUCCCGCCUCAGCAGGGACAUCCCUGCUGUCAGGAGGACCCUCACCCCCGCCAGUCUAUCCUCUGCCCCCCAGGAUCCAACUACCUCUGCCUCAAGCGGAAGAACUCCCCUUCCCCUGAGUGCCCCACCUAUGCUCUCUGCUUCUCUCCUAGCCUAGGUCACCUGGCUGACGGCAGGUCACCUGCUGGACUGUACCUCCUGCUUCUGGACGCAUGGGCGCUCAGCCUGGGCAGCGGUGAGACAGGCGGCCCACCCGGCCGGUCCACGAUGAGCAGCCGAUCAGCAAUCACAGCGACGACCGAAAGGAGGCCGACAAGAGCCGGUCGGACUUCACGGGAAAUACGUGUUCUCUCUCUGUGAGAUGCCACGUGGUGAGCCGAGACACCGGGGUCUCUCCCACCCCACCCGCCGCCAUGUCUGGGGGCCAGGCGCAGGGCAGGUGUGGCCGUGGGUGGGGGCAGGGGCCUUAGGGGCAGAGUGAGCCCAGGUCACCCCAGAUUCUGGGGGGAGGAUGGAGUUGACACAGUGCGGGGGGGGGGGGCAGGGUAAGGGGCGAGGGCAGGCUGAGGGAAGAGGAAGCCCUGGGUUUGAUCCUGCAGGUCUGGGGAGUCUGAGGGGGCACGGGGAGGGGGUGGAGGGGUGUCAGAAUCACAGAUCGGGGGACGUGAAGUCACCAGGCGGGACAAGGUGGUCCAGGGGGAGGGGGAGAGGCAGGAGGGUCACUGCAAGACUGGGCAAGGACACCCACAGGGCCGGGAGUCGGGAGCAUCCAGGAGGAGAGGCCCAGACACCAGGGGCAGCGGCCCCGUGUGGUGCCUUCAUCUGCAGCCUGUGACCUCGGCGAGGGGGCAGCCCUGAAAGAGGGCCCGCCACCGCAGUCUCACCACCCCACAGCCCCUCUCCCCUGAACACCCCGCCUGCCUGCCUUGCAAUGGGGUGCCACCUCCACUAGGAGGACCAGUCUCACCCUGGGCCCCCGCUUCUGGGCUGUGGGUCCAUUUGCAAGUCUAAUUGCCUUGCUCCCUGUUCACACCCCAUAUAUUGGCACCCACAGCAGAGAGGCCACCUGGGUGAGCCCACAAGUAAGGGGGCCCCUCCUCACCUGACUUACACACCCCAUCUACCAGGGGCAGGCAGGAAGGUGUGGGGAGAGGACCCAGGCCAGGCUGGGGUUGGGGCUUCCUGGAGGAGGGGGCCUGGAAGAAGCCAGGGUAGGGCUCUCUCCCCACCCUGCUUCCCCACCUCCCACUGCUCACAGCGGGACCACCCCCUCCCCCAUCACAGCCCCCAUCCCUGGCCUCCUGCAGUAUCGGCUGGGGCUCAAGUCCCCCAGUGAGCUCAGCUCCGGAGGCCGAGCUGC